rnacentral:misc_RNA from 1 species
GAAUUCCUUAUGGAACUGCUUGAUUUUGAAAACUUGCUACUACGUUAUGUUAUUGUACUAGCGUUUUCGGGGAUAUUAGAUUACUGAUUUACUGAAUUUUAGAAUUUAGAAAUAUGUUAUAUUAAUUCCUGUCAUUGGAGCAGCCAUAGGUAUUUAAACUAUUGAUCCAGCAGCCGAAACUGGCGCUUUUCUAUUUUUAUUUAUAAAACUUACGACCAGCUGUUGCCGUUAAAGGGUACGGACGCUGACUGGUAGUUGUUAUACAAGUUUUCACAAAUAUGUUGUUUGUGUAAAAAAAUCUUUGUGAAAAACUGGCUUGCAAUGAAGUUGAGUUAUGGUUCCAAAGCUGCAUUAUGGGGAUAGAAAGUCUCACUAUAGAAUUAGACAAUCCUGUUGGAAUUUAUUUUCCUGGAGAGGAAGUGUCUGGAGUAGUUCACAUCUCAAAUGUCAGCAGUAAAAUACUGAAAGGAAUAUACCUGGAAUGUCAAGGCUAUGCAAAAUUUUGUUUCAAUGAAUUGAGUAGUGAGACUUACUAUUCAGCUGAAGAAACUUAUCUAGACCUGAAAAUUCCUGUAAUUACCAAUGAAGGCAGAGAAACAUUUGAACUUGUCAGUGGAGUUCACCAAUUUCCAUUUGCGUUUGCACUUCCAAAAAAAAUUCCCUCUUCAUUUCAAACUGAGAUGUUGGAAAAAUUUGGCUAUGGCCAUGUCAAAUACUCAAUCAAAGUAGUUUUGAAGAGAUCUUCACGUCAAGCAAAUGGAGAAACCUGCUACAUUCCAUUCACUGGGUUUUGAAGCCGUCAUGGAAACCAAAUUACGAAUAUGUGCUCGCUUUUACAGUCAAAACCAUUGUUGACUUAAAUACAAUCCCAAAAGCAGCACUACCAACACAAUCAAUAAAAACCAAGUCCGUUUU